ACUGUGUUUCAUAUUCAGUUCAGGUUCUGCCAAGAUAGAUCCUUUUUCACAAGGCUGGGGAGGUAAGCAUGUUAGAGCUAGAAAAGAGAGAACCCUGCUGGAAUUAUACAGAAAAUCCUGCUGGGUAACGACGCUGUUUCCUUUUUAUUUCGGUUUGAGCUGCAGUAAAGCUGGUACUUUCAGAACACAAAAGCCAGAUUCCUGCUGUGACUUCUCAAAGUACUUUCUCAAAAUACCCAUGCAGCAGCUGACACAUAAAAAAAUGUACAUGAAUGUCUGGAUGGCUUCCUGGACCUGUCUGAAGGUACACACCCAGUUUUCAGGUGAUGGAGAUGUCUUCAAAACGUUGGACUUCUAGCAAGAGUUCUCUGCCUAAAACUGUGAGUCAUCCUCCAAGGACUCCACUUAGGAAGUCAUGGAGGUUCCAGUUAAUUAUGUGUGUUCUGCUUAUGUGAGUGUUUCCCUGUGCUUUGCUUAAAACACGAGAACAAAAAGCAUGUUUUUCUUAAUUCCUCAGUCAUUAUAUUUCCUCUUUCUGGAAGAUAAGUCUAGAAAAAUUAAAAUCUUAUUAUAUAACCAUGGAAACAAAUCUAAAACUUAAUUUUUUUAGUAAGUAAUUGAACACAGAGGUGUGGAGUGAAAUUUCUGGUUCAUGGAAGAUACUAAAGUACAUACUGGAGAAGAACGCUUAUUUCAAAUACAGGAAAAGACAGCAAUACUAUUCUAGGAAUUUUGAUGGGUUCUCUCCCAGAAAACCCGAUUGUCUGAUGUGGUGUGCAGGCUCAGUGUACUAGCUUCUUCAUGACCUACAGGUUUGAUAUCAUCGUAGCUUCUAGAGAGACUCAAUUAUAAGAGGCUGGAAAGUGUCAAGCCACCUCUCCACCAUAGCAGUAUAUCAGAGUUCCGUAUAUCAGCGUUUUGACUAUCAUUUUGACACACAAACCUAAAAUGAAAGCAAUUAUAGUAUGAAUAUGUAAUAUACUGAUUCUAAUUUAGGAAAAAUUUAGACCUGAAAUUAAGACUCACUAACUGUAGUAAGUAGUACUUAGUAAGUAGUAAGUAGUCAGGAAGUAUUAGUAAGUCCUUUCCUACUACUGUUACCAUCAUUGCUAAGGAAUUUUUUACUCCUUUUAUGUUUCUGAUAUUUAAUUGCAUAUAAAAAAGAAACAGUAGGAAUAGGGAAGAAUAGAAAGAAACUGAGAGAGGGAGAAAUUUAGAAUACAUUUUUCUUAGCUUACAGGAUUUCAACCUCCUCUUGAUUUCUGGUUAAAAAAACGAAAAAGAAUGAAAUGAUCAGUAUCAGCCAAACAAGAACAAUUAUUAGGCCUCUCCCAAACAUUACAUUUAUAGAAGGAGCAAAUUAUCCAAGAGCUAAAAAACACACAAAAAAGCAGAAAUAAAAUAGGUAUAUAAAAUAAAAUGGAAUUGAAU
rnacentral:lncRNA from 13 species